AAAGAAAAUGCGGAAUGGCCUCAAUAUUUGUCAUAGUUUGGUUUGUAAUGAUUUCGAGUUCAUUUUUAAUUGGCUUUUUGUUUUACCUGAUACCGAACUUGAUAAAAAAUAGCACGGAAAUGAACGUAGAUAUUCCAUUUAAAA
rnacentral:ribozyme from 1 species